CCAUUUCUCAUUCAUAUGGCCAGCCAAAGAAGAACAAAGGAGGAAAGGAAAAAAACAAGAACCCUAGGUGGGAAAAUUGAAGAAAAAGUGUGGGAUUUCAAGGGAUUAAGCUAAUAAAGGUAAAAUUUCUUAAUUUUGACUUGUGAUUUACACUACCCAUGCUUUCUUUUUCAUUUUCCAUGGUUAGAUUUCAUGUUUUUAUGGUGAAUUCAUGGCUGGUUGGAAUGGGUAUGGAGAGAGAAUGAAGUUGGAUUGAUUUGAUUCUAAGUUAUGUUAGUGUUUUUAGUUAGUUUAUCAUGUCUAGAAACAAACCAACAAGAAAAAUUCAUUUUCUCCCAUUACCCAUCAUUGGCCAAAUUUUCUAGGGAGGAUAUUGUGGCUGAAAUUGAUGAUAUUUUAUGAUAUUUUGGUGGUAUUUGAUGUUUGGUGAGGCUAGAAAUUAAAUGGGAAAUUUUGGUGGGAAAAUCUGAAUUUUUGCUUAACGUAUAGACAUGUGUGAUUAUUGACCCGAGACUGAUAAAUUGAAUCUCAUUCACAGUCACUGAGGUAAUUUAGGUAUAAUUGGAGUAUAGAAAGUGACAAGAAUUGAUUUGGAGUUAAAUUGGAGAUUUUAGCCGGUUAGGCCGAGUAUAGUGUGACUUAGGUUGAAUAUCACAUUUAAGUGAUUAAUCAGACAUUUUGCAUCCCAUCGCAUGCAUUCAUUUAGAAUUAGAGAGCCUGAAAUAGUUUAUGAUAAAUUGACACAAUUUAUUGAAAUUCGUGUCACGUAUAAUGUAUAGGUAGUGAGCCUUCAAACAAGGGUAAAGAGAUUGUGCCCGAAGACUGAGAAUAGGAGUAUAUCGAACUCCUAGUACUGUGAGUAACCUUAUUAUCAUUUUUAUUAUCUAAAGUACAUCUUAAUUCGAUUUUGGUGAAAUUUUAUGAAAUGAGUUAAAUGACAAAUUUUAGGUUUUAUAAACAAAAAUGAGUUUAAAUAAAAAGAUUUUAUAAAUUGUUUUGGAAACUGAAUGAUGAUUUUGAAAAUAGAGUAAUUGGAGACCACUGAUAUACUGUAAAUUUAAGAUUGAAUUGAUGGCUUAUGUUAUUGUGUUCGCAUGACUGACUGGGCUGUGUUUUAUGAAUUGUAUGAAUUGUUUUAUUUUACCCUUGUAGGCUGGGUAGUAAUAUAUUAGCCCUGUCAUGCUGUCAAGAUUUUAUUGUAUGGUGGGUUUAGCUUACUGUAGUAGGUGGGUUUCCGUGGACUAGCUUAUUAGAGGGGCACAGUAAACCCCGUUAUAUUUUACCUCGGUUGGAGAGGCGAGUAAGGUAACUCCCGAGGUAUGAUUUUAGAGUUCACUUCAUACCAAACCACCACGUGAAGGUGAGCUCGGCCAAACGCCAAGGAACGACUAUAUUUUCAAAAUGAAUACAUGUUUUAUGAGUACAUGACUUUCUAAUAGCCUUGGCGGACUCAGUUAGGAUAGCCCUCGGCCAAGGUAUCUCAGAUAACUGAGUAUGAUAAUAAUUUUUGGCAUAAGCCAAGCUUUUUAAGAAAUUCAUAAGCCAUACUGAUUACUUGAUUUAAAUAAAUUGAUUUCAUUUGGUUGAAAUAAGUUGAAAAAUGAUAAAUUACAGUUUGAUGAAAUGUUUAAUAGUCUCAUUUUACUCACUUUUAGAUAUUUUAAAUGAUAUUUGUUUACUCAUUGGGAUUUUAUAAUCUCACCACCCUCAUUUCCACCCAUUUCAGGCAUCAGGAUAGUCGGUAAAUAACUCAUUUCAUCGAGGACUACAAUUGGAUUGACAUCCUCAAAAUAUGUAGGUUCAAUUCUUUUGACACUUUUAAUCGCUUGUGGGCCCACGUGUCACUGUAAAUUUAAUUUUAUACUUUGGUUAUCUAUAUUACAAUAUAUAUGAAUCUAUUUUGCUUUUUCUCUGUAAAAAUUAUUUACGCAGUGUUCUAAAAAUAUUGUUUUAUGAAAAAAUUGAAUAUUUUAUUCUAUAACUUUAUUAUAUUCAAAUAGUUAUAAUUUUAUUUUAAAUGAAAGUUUUAGACGUUUAAAUUUAUUUUUGAUUAUGAAUUAUGUGUUUUAUACUUGCAUACUACAUUUUUAACUAGUUUCGAAACUUUUAAGGAAAAAUGACCAAAAUGCCCCUAUGAGACAUAAAUCAUUUUUUUAUUGAUUACAGUUGGAAAUAGCUUAAAUUCUUUUAGAACAUGAUAAUUGGUAACGGUUGCUCAUUAGGAAAAAGAGAAACUGAUAUUAAAGCCUUGCGGGGUUUCGGUUGAUAAUCUGGAUAAUGAGUGUCGAUCGGGAUAACGAGGUGAUUGUCACAGGCUCGAUGGGAGUUCCGGGUUGUGACAAUUACUCUUUUACAAUAAGCUAAUGUUAAACAAUAAAUACUAAGCAUUAUUCCCUUACAUUUAUUUGAACUUAACAUAUGCUAAAUUCAUUUUAUCUAAUUUUAAGAUGCCAUAUAGCUCACCUUCGGCAUGAUGAAAAGCCUUAAGUUUGCUAUGUGAAUGGCCUUGGUUAGAUAAGAAAUCCGCUGCUUGAUUACCCUUACGAUGGAUAUAAGUGAUUCAGUAGUUGAAAUGUUGUAAACAGUUUUAAAUAUAGGCAAAAAUGUACCAAAUAUCAUAAGAUCCAUGAGUACCUUGGGCUAUCAUAUGGACAACCACCUUUGCAUCCAUUUCAAUCCAUAAAGUGUGAACAUUGUAAUCCUGACAUAGAAAGAGACCUCUUUGAAGAGCAAGUAAUUAAGCUUUCAUUGGAUGUUGUGCACCAAAAUUUUUAGAGAAGCCAAAAAUAAGUUUACCUGUAUUAUCUCUCGCUACACCUCCUCUUGCUGCAUUUUGACAAUUAUCUCUCGAACUUCCAUCUACAUUCAAUUUAAUUUCAGACCUACCUAGUGUCAACCAUGUGAUUAUUUGUGGCGGAAUGGGGGCAGGUUGAUUCUGCAAGGAAACAUUCCACAACUUCCAUCUACAUGUCCCUUUUCCAUUGUCGCUUGCAUAUAAGAUCUCCUUUAUGAAGCUGCAUCAACAACUUCAUGAUCCACUGUAUAAUUUGUUAUUGAUAAACACCUAAUUACCUGUGCUUAGAAUCAUUCCUUUCAACCCAUAAAAACCAAUAUAUAAAUAUUGGUAAUAAAACAUGAAUAUGUCUUGACUUUGUAAAGCUGCUUGAGUAAUACCAAGCCCAUAAGAUAUACAAAAUAUUACGUGGUUGUUCAA
rnacentral:lncRNA from 1 species